AUGCAUGACCUUGUGCUGGAGGCACGGAGGCAGGGGCUCAAGCACGACACCAGCCUGCGGCCCACUGCUGUGGUGUUCCUGUGGGGCACGGGCCUCUCUUCCUCUCCUAUAUGGCCUCCCUGCUUGUGUUUAGAAGGAAAUGGUCUAUUUCAAAGGGUUGGGCCUGUUGCUUCUCCAGAUGCUCACUUACAUCUGCCCACUUCUGAGUUGAAAGCGCUCCUGGUAUAUGCAGAUGCUGUUACAGCUCUUUGGGAACUACAGUUUGCUGAAACUUUGGAAAAGGACAAGUAGAUGCUGAAUAUCAGAUCCAGAGUGAAGGAGCAGGCAUUCAUGG
rnacentral:lncRNA from 1 species